UACGGGGGGGGCUAGCGUUGUCCGGAAUUAUUGGGCGUAAAGAGCUUGUAGGCGGUUUGUCGCGUCUGCUGUGAAAUUUCGGGGCUCAACCCCGAACUUGCAGUGGGUACGGGCAGACUAGAGUGUGGUAGGGGAGACUGGAAUUCCUGGUGUAGCGGUGAAAUGCGCAGAUAUCAGGAGGAACACCGAUGGCGAAGGCAGGUCUCUGGGCCACUACUGACGCUGAGAAGCGAAAGCAUGGGGAGCGAACAGG
rnacentral:rRNA from 1 species